rnacentral:rRNA from 1 species
AGCGAACGCUGGCGGCAGGCUUAACACAUGCAAGUCGAGCGGGCAUCCUUGUGGUGUCAGCGGCAGACGGGUGAGUAACGCGUGGGAACGUGCCCUUCGGUUCGGAAUAACUCAGGGAAACUUGAGCUAAUACCGGAUACGUGCGAGAGCAGAAAGGUUUAUCUGCCGAAGGAUCGGCCCGCGUCUGAUUAGCUAGUUGGUGAGGUUAUGGCUCACCAAGGCGACGAUCAGUAGCUGGUCUGAGAGGAUGAUCAGCCACACUGGGACUGAGACACGGCCCAGAAUCCGACGGGAGGCAGCAGUGGGGAAUAUUGGACAAGGGGGGCAACCCUGAUCCAGCCAUGCCGCGUGAGUGAUGACGGCCUUAGGGUUGUAAAGCUCUUUUCUCCGGGACGAUAAUGACGGUACCGGAGGAAUAAGCCCCGGCUAACUUCGUG